rnacentral:rRNA from 1 species
UACGUAGGGGGCUAGCGUUGUCCGGAAUCAUUGGGCGUAAAGCGCGCGUAGGCGGCCCGGUAAGUCCGUUGUGAAAGUCAAAGGCUCAACCUUUGAAUGUCAGUGGAUACUGCCGGGCUAGAGUCCGGAAGAGGCGAGUGGAACUCCUGGUGUAGCGGUGGAAUGCGCAGAUAUCAGGAAGAACACCGACGGCGAAGGCAGCUCGCUGGGACGAUACUGACGCUGAGGCGCGAAAGCGUGGGGAGCGAACAGG